GCGUAAUAGCUCACUGGUCGAGUCGGCCUGCGCGGAAGAUGUAACGGGGCUAAACCAUGCACCGAAGCUGCGGCAGCGACACUAUGUGUUGUUGGGUAGGGGAGCGUUCUGUAAGCCUGCGAAGGUGUGCUGUGAGGCAUGCUGGAGGUAUCAGAAGUGCGAAUGCUGACAUAAGUAACGAUAAAGCGGGUGAAAAGCCCGCUCGCCGGAAGACCAAGGGUUCCUGUCCAACGUUAAUCGGGGCAGGGUGAGUCGACCCCUAAGGCGAGGCCGAAAGGCGUAGUCGAUGGGAAACAGGUUAAUAUUCCUGUACUUGGUGUUACUGCGAAGGGGGGACGGAGAAGGCUAUGUUAGCCGGGCGACGGUUGUCCCGGUUUAAGCAUGUAGGCUGGUUGUCCAGGCAAAUCCGGAUAAUCAAGGCUGAGGUGUGAUGACGAGGCACUACGGUGCUGAAGUAACAAAUGCCCUGCUUCCAGGAAAAGCCUCUAAGCAUCAGGUAACAUCAAAUCGUACCCCAAA
rnacentral:rRNA from 1 species